rnacentral:rRNA from 1 species
UACGUAGGGUCCGAGCGUUGUCCGGAAUUAUUGGGCGUAAAGGGCUCGUAGGCGGUCUGUCGCGUCGGGAGUGAAAAACUUACAGCUUAACUGUGAGCGUGCUUCCGAUACGGGCAGACUUGAGGUAUUCAGGGGAGAACGGAAUUCCUGGUGUAGCGGUGAAAUGCGCAGAUAUCAGGAGGAACACCGGUGGCGAAGGCGGUUCUCUGGGAAUGUCCUGACGCUGAGGAGCGAAAGUGUGGGGAGCGAACAGG